CCUACGGGGGGCAGCAGUGAGGAAUAUUGGUCAAUGGACGAGAGUCUGAACCAGCCAAGUAGUGUGAAGGAUGACUGCCCUAUGGGUUGUAAACUUCUUUUAUAUGGGAAUAAAAUGUUCCACGUGUGGGAUUUUGUAUGUACCAUAUGAAUAAGGAUCGGCUAACUCCGUGCCAGCAGCCGCGGUAAUACGGAGGAUCCGAGCGUUAUCCGGAUUUAUUGGGUUUAAAGGGAGCGUAGGUGGAUUGUUAAGUCAGUUGUGAAAGUUUGCGGCUCAACCGUAAAAUUGCAGUUGAAACUGGCAGUCUUGAGUACAGUAGAGGUGGGCGGAAUUCGUGGUGUAGCGGUGAAAUGCUUAGAUAUCACGAAGAACUCCGAUUGCGAAGGCAGUUCACUGGACUGCAACUGACACUGAGGCUCGAAAGUGUGGGUAUCAAACAGGAUUAGAUACCCGGGUAGUC
rnacentral:rRNA from 1 species